GACGAACGCUGGCGGCGUGCCUAAUACAUGCAAGUAGAACGCUGAAGGAGGAGCUUGCUUCUCCGGAUGAGUUGCGAACGGGUGAGUAACGCGUAGGUAACCUGCCUGGUAGCGGGGGAUAACUAUUGGAAACGAUAGCUAAUACCGCAUAACAGUAGAUGUUGCAUGACAUUUGCUUAAAAGGUGCAAUUGCAUCACUACCAGAUGGACCUGCGUUGUAUUAGCUAGUUGGUGAGGUAACGGCUCACCAAGGCGACGAUACAUAGCCGACCUGAGAGGGGGCUCGGCCACACUGGGACUGAGACACGGCCCAGACUCCUACGGGAGGCAGCAGUAGGGAAUCUUCGGCAAUGGACGGAAGUCUGACCGAGCAACGCCGCGUGAGUGAAGAAGGUUUUCGGAUCGUAAAGCUCUGUUGUAAGAGAAGAACGAGUGUGAGAGUGGAAAGUUCACACUGUGACGGUAUCUUACCAGAAAGGGACGGCUAACUACGUG
rnacentral:rRNA from 1 species